CCUACGAGAGGCUGCAGUGGGGAAUAUUGGACAAUGGGGGGAACCCUGAUCCAGCCAUGCCGCGUGUGUGAAGAAGGCCCUCGGGUUGUAAAGCACUUUCAGUGAGGAAGAACGCCUGGUGGUUAAUACCCAUCAGGAAAGACAUCACUCACAGAAGAAGCACCGGCUAACUCCGUGCCAGCAGCCGCGGUAAUACGGAGGGUGCGAGCGUUAAUCGGAAUUACUGGGCGUAAAGCGCGCGUAGGUGGCUUGAUAAGCCGGUUGUGAAAGCCCCGGGCUCAACCUGGGAACGGCAUCCGGAACUGUCAAGCUAGAGUGCAGGAGAGGAAGGUAGAAUUCCCGGUGUAGCGGUGAAAUGCGUAGAGAUCGGGAGGAAUACCAGUGGCGAAGGCGGCCUUCUGGACUGACACUGACACUGAGGUGCGAAAGCGUGGGUAGCAAACAGGAUUAGAUACCCUUGUAGUC
rnacentral:rRNA from 1 species